UACAGAGGUCCCGAGCGUUAGGCGGAAUCACUGGGCUUAAAGCGUGUGUAGGCGGACUUCUAAGUACCUUGUGAAAUCCCACGGCUUAACCGUGGAACUGCUUGGUAUACUGGUUGUCUUGGGCCAUCUAGGGGCUACUGGAACAAACGGUGGAGCGGUGAAAUGCGUAGAUAUCGUAAGGAAGACCAGUGGCGAAGGCGGGUCUCUGGACAGUUCCUGACGCUGAGGCACGAAGGUCAGGGGAGCAAACGGG
rnacentral:rRNA from 1 species